GCUUCAAUAUGCGCAUGAAGAAGAUUACGUUCAAGAUGUUAGUUCGUUUGCAUUUCAAUGGUUGGAAGACAUGCCACGCCAAGACAACAACUAUGAUUGUGGUCUUUUCGUCAUCAAAUAUAUGCAAGGGAAACCUUUGCCUUCGGGUGUAAUCAAGUUUGACUAUUUGCAUAGGGCUCGCUUGUUACUUGAUCUUGUGAUAUACAAGCAUAAUUCAGCUCCUAUUGUUGGUGAUAUCGCGCAAUAUAAAGCUGAACUCAGAGCUAGGGGUGAAUUGAAAUGGAAGUAGAGGCUAUACGACUUUUGUGAUCCUGAAAGAAGGAAAGAUAGUGGAUAAGGUUGUGGGAGCGAACAAAGACGACUUUGAUUUUAAUUGAUGUAUUUAAAAUUUGAACAUGAAUUGUUUCUAUU